CAAGCGUCUGGGGUAAGGGGUCGCCUGCCAUCAGCCCCACUGAUGAGUCUAGGCAGAGUGACUCCGAGACGAAACGCAUA
rnacentral:hammerhead_ribozyme from 17 species